rnacentral:rRNA from 1 species
CUUAUCUGGUAAAGCGAAUGAUUAAAGGCCUUAGGGCCGAAACAACCUUAACCUAUUCUCAAACUUUAAAUGGGUAAGAACCUUGCCUUACUUGAUAUGAAGGUACAGGUUAUGAUAUAUUGUGCCCAGUGGGCCACUUUUGGUAAGCAAAACUGGCGCUGUGGGAUGAACCAAACGUGAUGUUACGGCGCCAAAAUUAACAACUCAUACUGAUACCAUGAAAGGCGUUGCUUGCUUAAAACAGCAGGACGGUGGACAUGGAAGUCGUAAUCCGCUAAGGAGUGUGUAACAACUCACCUGCCGAAGCAACUACCCCUUAAAAUGGAUGGCGCUUAAGUUGUAUGCCUAUACAUCACCGCUAAAACAUAUGAUUUA